rnacentral:rRNA from 1 species
AGCGAACGCUGGCGGCAGGCUUAACACAUGCAAGUCGAGCGGGCAUCCUUGUGGUGUCAGCGGCAGACGGGUGAGUAACGCGUGGGAACGUGCCCUUCCGUUCGGAAUAACUCAGGGAAACUUGAGCUAAUACCGGAUACGUGCGAGAGCAGAAAGGUUUAUCUGCCGAAGGAUCGGCCCGCGUCUGAUUAGCUAGUUGGUGAGGUUAUGGCUCACCAAGGCGACGAUCAGUAGCUGGUCUGAGAGGAUGAUCAGCCACACUGGGACUGAGACACGGCCCAGACUCCUACGGGAGGCAGCAGUGGGGAAUAUUGGACAAUGGGGGCAACCCUGAUCCAGCCAUGCCGCGUGAGUGAUGACGGCCUUAGGGUUGUAAAGCUCUUUUCUCCGGGACGAUAAUGACGGUACCGGAGGAAUAAGCCCCGGCUAACUUCGUG